GUCCCUGUGGCUCAGUUGGUAGAGCAUGGUGUUUGCAACGCCAGAGUUGUGGGUUUGAUUCCCACGGGGGGCC
rnacentral:tRNA from 1 species